rnacentral:lncRNA from 1 species
UGAAUUUGAAAUUGCAUUUUUUUAGAUCUUUAUAGCUAUAAGAUCGUUGUGGUAAAUCAUUAGAUGAAAUAUUUAGCGCGAUAAUAUUAUUUUUUUAACUUUGUACCCAAAACAAUGAUUAAAACAAACCAAUUAGACCCUCAAACACAACGUAAAGUCAUUUCUCUCAGUAAUAGUUUUCACAAUAGACUCCAACCCUCUUAUUAUAAAACGCGGUAUCAAAUAAGUAUCGGCUUUUGUACUACCUUUAAUCCAGCUGUAAGUACGACCUUGAAAAAACGUUAUUACAAAACGCAGUUUAUCGCAAGUCCUAUUACUAUCUGUAGUACAAAAGAUAAACCAUCGAGCCCCCUAGUUUAACUGCAGUUCUUAGUCGACAAACGUCAAAUUCCGUCAUUAUUUACUUUUGAGGUUAUUUGUUUUGUGAUAAAAAAACGAAAGUGGAUAUAAAUAUGUGUGAUUUGGAAUACUUGGAUGUGUUAGAAUACUAUUGAGAGUGUCCGGGGACCCAACAGUGUGCGUCAUCGACAAAAUCUCUUCAAAUUAUCUGACGACAAUUUUCGAUAUAAAUAUCGAUUUAUGUUUUUCGAAAUAAUAGUCAAUUGAAUGCAUGAUGAUAAUCCAUGAUGAUCCUAUGAUGCUCAACUGGGCUCGCCAUAAGAUUCAAGACUAUUUUGGCGUUUUGCACGCCGUAUCUUUGCCAGUAAUAUGCAAUGUUUGUAAAAGACUGGAAGCUUGAUAAAAUGUAGGUACAAAAAUGCCAAGAUGAGCAAGGGAACAAGAUUGUGUGAUGAAGAACAGUAUCCAACAUGUAUCAGUGCGUUUGACUGUAUAAAUAGACAUCGGAAUAAAAUAUAAUUUUGUACUUU